GACGAACGCUGGCGGCGUGCUUAACACAUGCAAGUCGAACGGAAAGGCCCUGCUUUUGUGGGGUGCUCGAGUGGCGAACGGGUGAGUAACACGCGAGUAACCUGCCCUUGACUUUGGGAUAACUCCAGGGAACUGGGGCUAAUACAGGAUAUGAGCUCCUGAUGCAUGGGGGGGGUGGGAAAGUUUCGGCGGUUGGGGAUGGACUCGCGGCUUAUCAGCUUGUUGGUGGGGUAGUGGCUUACCAAGGCUUUGACGGGUAGCCGGCCUGGGAGGGUGACCGGCCACAUUGGGACUGGGGUAGGGCCCAGACUCCUACGGGAGGCAGCAGUGGGAAAUAUUGCACAAUGGGCGGAAGCCUGAUGCAGCAACGCCGCGUGCGGGAUGACGGCCUUCGGGUUGUAAACCGCUUUCGCCUGUGACGAAGCGUGAGUGACGGUAAUGGGUAAAGAAGCACCGGCUAACUACGUG
rnacentral:rRNA from 1 species